rnacentral:rRNA from 1 species
CAGCUAGUUGGUUGGGGUAAUGGCCCACCAAGGCUUUGAUCGGUAGCCGGCCUGAGAGGGCGCACGGCCACACUGGAACUGAGACACGGUCCAGACUCCUACGGGAGGCAGCAGUGGGGAAUAUUGGACAAUGGGCGCAAGCCUGAUCCAGCCAUGCCGCGUGAGUGAAGAAGGCCUUCGGGUUGUAAAGCUCUUUUGUCCGGAAAGAAAAGCUCCAGGUUAAUACCUUGGGGUUCUGACGGUACCGGAAGAAUAAGCACCGGCUAACUUCGUGCCAGCAGCCGCGGUAAUACGAAGGGUGCAAGCGUUACUCGGAAUUACUGGGCGUAAAGCGUGCGUAGGUGGUUCGUUAAGUCUGAUGUGAAAGCACUGGGCUCAACCUGGGAAUGGCAUUGGAUACUGGCGAUCUAGAGUGCGGUAGAGGGCAGUGGAAUUCCCGGUGUAGCAGUGAAAUGCGUAGAGAUCGGGAGGAACAUCUGUGGCGAAGGCGACUG